AAUAGAGAUUGUAGCUCAGUUUGAAUAGCAUCUUUCCAUUUUGGCCAAUCUUUUCUUUUCCGACAUUCUUCCACGUUUUAUGGUUCAGGAUCCGUGUCAGGAAUCAAAGUAAUAUCUGAUGCUAUAGAGAAAGCAAAUAUAUCAUCAAUUAUGACUUUGCUUCGAUCCAAUAUUUUCUCAUCAUGUACAUAAUUUAUUGAGAUCUCUUGGUGUUCAUCUCUU
rnacentral:lncRNA from 1 species